CAGUCGCCACGGUAACACGUAGGGUGCAAGCGUUAAUCGGAAUUACUGGGCGUAAAGCGUGCGCAGGCGGUUUUGUAAGACAGAGGUGAAAUCCCCGGGCUCAACCUGGGAACUGCCUUUGUGACUGCAAGGCUAGAGUACGGCAGAGGGGGAUGGAAUUCCGCGUGUAGCAGUGAAAUGCGUAGAUAUGCGGAGGAACACCGAUGGCGAAGGCAAUCCCCUGGGCCUGUACUGACGCUCAUGCACGAAAGCGUGGGGAGCAAACAGGAUUAGAUACCCCAGUAGUCCCUGUCUCUUAUAC
rnacentral:rRNA from 1 species